rnacentral:rRNA from 2 species
UGGGGAAUUUUGCACAAUGGGGGAAACCCUGAUGCAGCGACGCCGCGUGAUUUAGAAGGCCUUCGGGUUGUAAAAAUCUUUUCUAUGGGAAGAAAAUGACAGUACCAUAGGAAUAAGGACCGGCUAAUUACGUGCCAGCAGCCGCGGUAAUACGUAAGGUCCGAGCGUUGUCCGGAAUCAUUGGGCGUAAAGGGUACGUAGGCGGGUAAGCAAGUUAGAAGUGAAAUCCUAUAGCUCAACUAUAGUAAGCUUUUAAAACUGCUCAUCUUGAGGUAUGGAAGGGAAAGUGGAAUUCCUAGUGUAGCGGUGAAAUGCGCAGAUAUUAGGAGGAAUACCGGUGGCGAAGGCGACUUUCUGGCCAUAACCUGACGCUGAGGUACGAAAGCGUGGGUAGCAGACAGG